AUUGUUUUAUAAAGCCCAUUAGUAUGUGUUUAUUUUCAGCUGAUCACACAAUCAUCCUGUGAAGGACUCAGGGCAGGUCUUUUGAACCAGUUUCAUAAAAAAUGAAAGGAUGGAGGAGCCUGGGUGGCCCAGUCAAACGCCCACCUCUUGAUUUUAGCUCAGGUCAUAAUGUCAUGGUUUGUGACAUCGACUCUCACAUCAGGCUCUGCACUGACAGUGUGGAGUCUGCUUGGGAUUUUCUUUCUCCCUCUCUCUCUGGCUCUCCCUCUGCUAGAGAGAGAGAGAGAGAGAGAGAGAGAGAGCGCGCGUGCACACGUGCGCGUGCAGGUUCUCUCUCUCUCAAAAUAAACUUUGAAAAAAAAAGGAAAAGGACUUGCUGAGGUCUGCACAACUGAUAGUUCAUUGAAAUGUCUGAAGCCCCUCUGGCCCGGAGCAACCUGGGUGAAGGUCAUGUUUGCCUGGAACAUUUCUCAGGAGGGCUAUGGUAGCAUUUAGGGGCUGGGAUCUCUUACUGCAGAGCUCCAGAGGCAGACGCUGGUUCAUGUGCUGGAGGAGGCUCAUAUCGAAAACUGGAGUAUUGUACGUUGGACACUCUGAGAAGCAGACUCUGAGACCAAGAGGGGGAAAACCGAGGCAAGAACAAGUUGAGCAAGCCACCCAAAGUCACACAGCUGGAGCGUGUCAAGCCAAGACGUGAAGACAGGUGGUCUGGGCCAGCAUCCACACUCUCGUUUUAUCUGAAAGUUCCUGUCGGUUGUGCUUGUUGUGUAUUGUUUGAAUAAUGUUGCAUAUCGCCAUACUGAUGACCCCAAACUUUCUAAUUAUUAACCUUUAAUGACAGCAACAAACAGCAACGCUA